rnacentral:rRNA from 1 species
AAGGGACUGCAAAUGAGCGGGAAGUGAAUUUGGAAGAAGGCGAGAAAAGCUGUGUGAAUAGAAGAUAGAGCCCGUACCGCAAACCGACACAGGUAGAUAGGAAGAAGAUUCUAAGGCCAACGGGAGAAGGGUUGUUAAGGAACUCGGCAAGUUGACCCCGUAACUUAGGGAGAAGGGGUGCUCUUUAAGGAGAGCCGCAGGGAAUAGGCCCAAGCGACUGUUUAGCAAAAACACAGCUCUAUGCUAAAUCGAAAGAUGACGUAUAUGGGGUGACACCUGCCCGGUGCCGGAAGGUUAAGAGGAGGAGUGAGAGCUCUGAAUUGAAGCCCCGGUAAACGGCGGCCGUAACAAUAACGGUCCUAAGGUAGCGAAAUUCCUUGUCAGGUAAGUUCUGACCCGCACGAAUGGUGUAACGAUUUGGGCACUGUCUCAACAACCUGCCCGGCGAAAUUGUAGUACCGGUGAAGAUGCCGGUUACCCGCGACUAGACGGAAAGACCCCAUGGAGCUUUACUGCAGCUUAAUAUUGAAUUUCGGUAUUUCAUGUACAGGAUAGGUGGGAGACAGGGAACCAUAGGCGUCAGCUUAUGGGGAGUCGACCUUGGGAUACCACUCUUGAGGUGCUGGAAUUCUAACCUGUGGCUCUGAAUCGAGUCAGGGGACAUUGUUAGGCGGGCAGUUUGACUGGGGCGGUCGCCCCCAAAAAGGUAACGGAGGCGCUCAAAGGUUCGCUCAGCAUGGAUGGAAACCAUGCUUUUGAGUGUAAACGCAAAAGCGAGCCUAACUGCGAGACUGACGGGUCGAGCAGUAACGAAAGUUGGAGUUAGUGAUCCGGCGGUAUGUGAGUGGAAAUGCCGUCGCUCAACGGAUAAAAGCUACCCUGGGGAUAACAGGCUGAUCUCCCCCAAGAGUCCACAUCGACGGGGAGGUUUGGCACCUCGAUGUCGGCUCAUCGCAUCCUGGGGCUGAAUUCGGUCCCAAGGGUUUGGCUGUUCGCCAAUUAAAGCGGUACGCGAGCUGGGUUCAGAACGUCGUGAGACAGUUCGGUCCCUAUCUGUCGUGGGCGUAGGAUAUUUGAAAGGAGCUGUCCCUAGUACGAGAGGACCGGGAUGGACGCACCGCUGGUGCACCAGUUGUCAUGCCAAUGGCACAGCUGGGCAGCUAUGUGCGGAACGGAUAAACGCUGAAGGCAUCUAAGCGUGAAGCCGACCUUAAGAUAAGAUAUCCCUUCGUAAGAGUAAGACCUCUCAUAGACUAUGAGUUUGAUAGGCCUAAGGUGUAAGCACAGUGAUGUGUUCAGCAUGCAGGUACUAAUCGGUCGAGGGCUUUUCCG